rnacentral:rRNA from 1 species
AGAGUUUGAUCAUGGCUCAGGACGAACGCUGGCGGCGUGCCUAAUACAUGCAAGUCGAACGAAGCUUUCUUUCACCGAAUGCUUGCAUUCACCGAAAGAAGCUUAGUGGCGAACGGGUGAGUAACACGUAGGCAACCUGCCCAAAAGAGGGGGAUAACACUUGGAAACAGGUGCUAAUACCGCAUAACCAUGAACACCGCAUGAUGUUCAUGUAAAAGACGGCUUUUACUGUCACUUUUGGAUGGGCCUGCGGCGUAUUAACUUGUUGGUGGGGUAACGGCCUACCAAGGUGAUGAUACGUAGCCGAACUGAGAGGUUGAUCGGCCACAUUGGGACUGAGACACGGCCCAAACUCCUACGGGAGGCAGCAGUAGGGAAUCUUCCACAAUGGACGAAAGUCUGAUGGAGCAACGCCGCGUGAAUGAAGAAGGCCUUCGGGUUGUAAAAUUCUGUUGUCAGAGAAGAACGUGCGUGAGAGUAACUGUUCACGUAUUGACGGUAUCUGACCAGAAAGCCACGGCUAACUACGUGCCAGCAGCCGCGGUAAUACGUAGGUGGCGAGCGUUGUCCGGAUUUAUUGGGCGUAAAGGGAACGCAGGCGGUCUUUUAAGUCUGAUGUGAAAGCCUUCGGCUUAACCGAAGUAGUGCAUUGGAAACUGGAAGACUUGAGUGCAGAAGAGGAGAGUGGAACUCCAUGUGUAGCGGUGAAAUGCGUAGAUAUAUGGAAGAACACCAGUGGCGAAAGCGGCUCUCUGGUCUGUAACUGACGCUGAGGUUCGAAAGCGUGGGUAGCAAACAGGAUUAGAUACCCUGGUAGUCCACGCCGUAAACGAUGAGUGCUAAGUGUUGGAGGGUUUCCGCCCUUCAGUGCUGCAGCUAACGCAUUAAGCACUCCGCCUGGGGAGUACGGUCGCAAGACUGAAACUCAAAGGAAUUGACGGGGGCCCGCACAAGCGGUGGAGCAUGUGGUUUAAUUCGAAGCAACGCGAAGAACCUUACCAGGUCUUGACAUCUUCUGACAAUUCCAGAGAUGGAACGUUCCCUUCGGGGACAGAAUGACAGGUGGUGCAUGGUUGUCGUCAGCUCGUGUCGUGAGAUGUUGGGUUAAGUCCCGCAACGAGCGCAACCCUUAUUGUCAGUUGCCAUCAUUAAGUUGGGCACUCUGGCGAGACUGCCGGUGACAAACCGGAGGAAGGUGGGGAUGACGUCAAAUCAUCAUGCCCCUUAUGACCUGGGCUACACACGUGCUACAAUGGACGGUACAACGAGUCGCUAACUCGCGAGGGCAAGCUAAUCUCUUAAAGCCGUUCUCAGUUCGGAUUGCAGGCUGCAACUCGCCUGCAUGAAGUCGGAAUCGCUAGUAAUCGCGAAUCAGCAUGUCGCGGUGAAUACGUUCCCGGGCCUUGUACACACCGCCCGUCACACCAUGAGAGUUUGUAACACCCAAAGUCGGUGGGGUAACCUUUUGGAGCCAGCCGCCUAAGGUGGGACAGAUGAUUGGGGUGAAGUCGUAACAAGGUA